rnacentral:rRNA from 1 species
CCUACGGGGGGCAGCAGUGGGGAAUAUUGCACAAUGGGGGAAACCCUGAUGCAGCGACGCCGCGUGAGUGAAGAAGUAAUUCGUUAUGUAAAGCUCUAUCAGCAGGGAAGAAAAUGACGGUACCUGAGUAAGAAGCCACGGCUAACUACGUGCCAGCAGCCGCGGUAAUACGUCGGGGGCAAGCGUUAUCCGGAUUUACUGGGUGUAAGGGGAGCGUAGACGGCAGUGCAAGUCAGGAGUGAAAGGCGGGGGCUCAACCCCCGGACUGCUGUGGAAACUGUACGGCUGGAGUGCAGGAGAGGUAAGUGGAAUUCGUGGUGUAGCGGUGAAAUGCGUAGAUAUUAGGAAGAACACCAGUGGCGAAGGCGGCUUGCUGGACUGUAACUGACGUUGAGGCUCGAAAGCGUGGGGAGCAAACAGGAUUAGAUACCCGAGUAGUC